rnacentral:tRNA from 1 species
GACGAGGUGUAGCGCAGUCUGGUCAGCGCAUCUGUUUUGGGUACAGAGGGCCAUAGGUUCGAAUCCUGUCACCUUGAUG